GGCCUGAUGGUCUAGUAGUAUGAUUCCUUGUUAGGGUAUCCACGACGAUCACAGUCUAUCGAGGAGGUCCCGGGUUCAAUUCCCGGUCAGGCCC